GCCAGCUUGGCAUAGUGGUUUGAGUGUUGAACUAUGACUCUGGAGAUCAGGGUUCGAUUCCCUUCUUGGCC
rnacentral:tRNA from 1 species